AUGAAUUGAAUGAUUGUUUAGUUCAAAUGUAAAUGAAUUGAAUGUUUCAUUUUCUUCUUAAGAUAUGAAUUUUUGCAUGGUCAACAAGGAUAUAUAUGUGUAUCAAAUUGUUGCUGCAUAUAUAUGAAUUUCUGCUAGCCAUCCUAGCUCGGAAAAUAUUAGUGUACAUCCAAUUGUUCCCACUUGACUUCCUUAUAUGCUUAGAGCUUAUCUUUCUCAUAACUUAGAGAAAAGGCCCAUUUGGUUUUAGGGGAUAGUGAUUGAGGGUUUUUGUUAUAUAUCUGUUGUGUUCAAUUUUGUUGUUAGUUUAGAAGCAGUUAUUCUCCCACGUUUAAUCUUCCCACGUUUUCCAAGAUCAAAAUACUGAACUCCCUAUUCUAGAGUCUAGACCGUGCAGAAACCAGUUAUUGGUAAGCAGAAGACGAUCUCCUCAAGGAGAAGUUCGCCAACAGAAAAAGGUAUGGUUUACUUCUAUCAAAUUGUUGACUUUGAUGAGGGUUUCAACUUUUCUUUUCCUUCUUCGUGUAGUUCUCGAAGAUAGGGGGUCUUGGUAAAUAAAAAACAUAUUGCAGAGGGAGAAGAGAUGGAAGACUAAAUCGGUUAGGUACCUAAUCAUGUUAUCUCUACGUUUGAUGUUAAAGGGAAGCAGAUGGGCAUGCUUAGUAUGAAGGAGAAGAAUUCGUUUUUAACACAUAAGGACAACUGAGAUCAUAUUCUUCACUUACGAAUAAUCAGUGGAAGCUUUCAGUUUUGGGGUUUUGGAUAUAUUUUGGUUCUAGGUCUGGAGAUAGUAAUAUAAUGUUUUCGUUUCAUAUUUUUCCUUCCGUUGAUUUACAAUUUGUAAUGGUGCAUGAGAUUUUGGUUAUAGCAAGCGGCUUGCGAUUUCAUCCCUCCUUAUGAACUCUCCUUUUUUUGUUUUUUUCCUUUUUUUUUCCGGUCGCCAAGUGGGAACAAGACAUAUUAUGAUUUCAGGAAACCAGACUUUCAGUACACCAAUUUCUCAACUAGAAAGGCUUACCAUGAUCUAGCAAUUUCCACCAUGUACGUCAUUACUUGAACUUUAAAUUUUCAUGCGGACAUUCUAUAUGGUUUUUCAUCUGAUGAUCAUUAGUAUGGUUGUUGAUUGUACUACCUCACAUUUGAGGUUUUCCACCUAUUGUUCAGGUAACAAUAGGUAAACCCGUUGAGUUGUCAGGUUAGUCAAUAUUUCUCUUUUUGUUAUUCAAAUCUCUACAUUUGGAUACUACUGUCCUAUUUGCUUACUUUCUUGGUUCAGAUUUCAUUGUGUUUCCAAUGAUAAUUAUUGGCAAGAUUCUAUUAGUUUUCAUGUCAUGUUUCACUGAGUUGGAUGUGCGAGUAGUUUAGAAUUAAUGGUUUUUAUUACUUGCGGUAUUAAUAAUGUGCAACAAAGUAUCUUAGAGCAUUAUAUAUGGUUAAUGACUUUAGCUUAUGAUAUGAUAGCACUGACCCAUUUUAUAUGUACUGUUAAACAUGCUGUAUUUGUUUUCUUUUUCAUACCUCCUGUGAGAUAUUAUAGUAAUUUGCAACAUGUUGGAUUGGCUAUAAGACGAGACAUUGAGGAAUGCAGUUGCAAAGUUUAAGGGGAAGAAAUGAAGACAAUAGGUUUUUGUUUAUUCAAUCAUGCUUAAGUGGAGAUUGUAGUUACUAACUUCAGUAGGUAUUGAGCUUUUAGGUGGCAAUUAGACAUGUUUGACAAAUGUACUCUUUUAUUUUUUGUUUUUAGGUUAGUAUUUUCUCUCGUACUAUUCUAAUGUCAUGGAUGAUGUUUUUUUAUCUAUGUAUUAAGACUAUGUAGUUUGCAUUCAAUCAAUUAUUCAA